rnacentral:lncRNA from 1 species
UUUUGGAGGCUGAGACGGCAGAUCACGAGGUCAGGAGAUCAUGACUCAUCCUGGCUAACAUGGUGAAACCCCCGUCUCUACUAAAAAUGGCUGGAAAACUAGCCGGGUGCGGUGGCGUAUGCCUGUAGUCCCGCUACUCGGGAGGCUGAGGCAGGAGAAUGCUUGAACUCGGGAGGCGAGCUUGCAGUGAACUGAUCUGGCCACUGCACUCCAGUCUGGCGACAGAUUUGUGACCUCGCCUCAAAAAAAAAAAAAAAAAAAAAGAAACAAAAAUUCUUGCCCUUGUAGGUUUACAUUCUGGUGAGGAAACUUCAUUCAUUCAUUCAUUCAACAAGCACCCAUUGAUAUUCUAGUAUGACUCAGGCCUUAAGCCACAUACUGUGAAUAAACAGGAUUUUAGCCCUAACCUCAGAAUUUAGUGGGAGAAAUAAGAUGUGUGCUCUUCUCUCCUCCAACCCUCCCCUACACACAGAACACAGAAGAGGGCAGGCUUGCCCAGCUUGCUCAAAGAAAGUUUCUCAAAGAAGAUGACAAGUAAGAUGAAACUUGAAGAAUGAAACUGAUGAGGGAGAAUGGCGGUCCCGGUAGGGAAGAGAGCGAGCAUCGCAUGCACGUGGCAUGAGUCAUGCUAGGAGAUCGAGGAAUGCAGUUGAAUGGAUGAAGCUGCCCCAGUGGAGUGCAAACUCCAGGGGGCAUGUUCUGGGAACUGAUCCAGCUCAACUAUGAUCUUUUUUGAGAAACCUCUGAUGGUCUGAGUUCUACCAAUUCUGCUACUCAUUAGUGGUAAGUUGCUUAGUGUCUCUGAGCCUUAGAGUCUGCACCUGUGAAAUGGAGACGAUAUCUACCUUGCAGGAUUGUUAUAAGGAUUGAGAUGAUGCUUAUUAAGUUAUCUGGUCCACAGUAGGUACUCAAUAAAUGGCCUUAAUUUUGAUGUGCUGAUCCCAUGUUAGGAGCUAUGGAAACUGAUGAACGAGACAGUCCCUGCCCCAGGAAGCCUCAGACUAGUACAUCACUGCCUGCUCUUGGCUCCUCUUGCCCCUUAGUGAGCUGAAGCAGAUUUUCAUAAAUGUAGAUGGAAACUUUUCUAGAUGUUUUUAGAUACUGACACCAUUAUGUCAUCCAGGUUCUCAGUUAACAUUU